AUUGAACGCUGGCGGCAGGCUUAACACAUGCAAGUCGAGCGGAGCGAGGGUGCUUGCACCUUAGCUUAGCGGCGGACGGGUGAGUAAUGCUUAGGAAUCUGCCUAUUAAUGGGGGACAACAUUCCGAAAGGAAUGCUAAUACCGCAUACGCCCUAAGGGGGAAAGCAGGGGAGCUGCGGACUUUGCGCUAAUAGAGGAGCCUAAGUCGGAUUAGCUAGGUGGUGGGGUAAAGGCCUACCAAGGCGACGAUCGGUAGCGGGUCUGAGAGGAUGAUCGGCCACACUGGGACUGAGACACGGCCCAGACUCCUACGGGAGGCAGCAGUGGGGAAUAUUGGACAAUGGGCGGAAGCCUGAUCCAGCCAUGCCGCGUGUGUGAAGAAGGCCUUUUGGUUGUAAAGCACUUUAAGCGAGGAGGAGGCUACUUAGAUUAAUACUCUGGGAUAGUGGACGUUACUCGCAGAAUAAGCACCGGCUAACUCUGUGCCAGCAGCCGCCGUAAAAC
rnacentral:rRNA from 1 species